AUGGUAGGGUGUCCAGGGUGAGGGGAGGGUGGUGUGAAUCCCCAGUAAUGCAGGUCCUUUCCAGGCCAGGCCCCUGGUCCCCAGGAGUGCGGGGAUGCCUGAGGUCUACUGCUGCCUUAUCCAGAGCUGCCAUCCCCGGCGAUGACUCAGAGUUCCUGUGGCCCCAGCAUCAUCCCUCCAUCCCUGGCUGUGAGGCAGGAGCAGAGUUGCAGACCUGAGAGGCCUUGAAUUUGUUUGAUAUAGGACUUUGCCACCAGACAAAGUGCUUUGCCUGUGAGGUCUGGCUUGGCCUGGCCUCUGAGAAAGAACAAACACAGACCUCACUGGAAGGAACCUGGAGAACGGGAGAGGAGAGGCUGCUGCUGUCUGCCCUCCCAGCAGCAGAUAUAAAGACAAUGGGCUUCUAAGUCCCCUAGAGUCCCAGCUGUGUAAUUUAAGGCGAGUUCAUCUCUCACAGCCUCAGUUUCCUCAUUUGCUGGCACCUGUCUUUCUCCUUCAUAGCCAUUGUCACUGUUGCAAUGAUAUCAACAAUGCUUACAUUUCAGAUAGAUCCCCAGCUGGGUUGAAAGGAACGUCAAGACCCUUCCUUUCUUAUGACCUAUGUAUCAACUCCCUUCUACCUUGCCUCCCUCCACUUGGAGCGAGUUCUAGUUGGUGAAAUGUAGCCAGAGGUUCCUGGAAAGGCUUUCCUUCUCAAGUAAAGCCUGGCUCAGAGAAAACCACUGGUCUCUUUCCUUUUCUUCCUCCUGACAUGAACAUGGGGCAGGAAGGAGCAUGGAGAAGACAAGAACAAGGCUCUCAGAAGGAAAUGGUGUGGCUGGAGCCAUGAGAACUGGUUGUGGAGGGGGUGAGGAAGGCAAAUAUAAUUUCUGACCUACGUAAUGAUGUAUGCACAAGAAGCCUCUCUUGAAUGUAUUAAUUCAGUAAACAGUUAUGGAGUCCUUACAAUGUGCUAGUGGGACUUUGAAGAUGAAUCCAAAUUUGGAUCCUGGCCUGGAAAGGCUCAAAGCCCAAUAUGGGAGACGGACCUUGCAGGUGGCAAUCGUGCAUGGGAGGACAUGGUGGUGGCAGGGUUCCUGACUGUGGCUGUGGGUGGCCUGGACUUGGCAGUGGAGGGAGAUUCAUUCAGAGAAGAGCGAUGGAGCUGCUAUGUUCACCCACUUUCCCAAUUAUAGCCCCUCUCCUCCAGGGCAUUUGCUGGGGGUGGGGGGUGGCGGAAUAAAGUCCCCUGACUUGG
ensembl:lncRNA LINC01227 long intergenic non-protein coding RNA 1227